GUCCCUGUAGCACAACGGAUAGCGCGUUUGACUCCUAUUCCAAAGGUCUUGGGCUCGAGCUUCAACUGGGAUG